AUUGGUUCCGGAUACUGAAUUAUUAAAAAUAAAAUUGGUGUGAUUGUCAUUGAGAUAUAUAUUCCCUGGUUCUCUGAGGUAAGAUAUUAAGACGUGUUUGAGGAAUGACUAGAUCCAAGGCAGAACGACCAACCACUUCUUUUUGUGCUUUGGGUUGCUAGGGAUUGCGGUGGCUCCAGAGCCGGCCCUCCCUGGAGCAUGGCAGCUGCUCAGCAGAGAAGCAGCCACUAGAGAGCAUGACGAGACCACUAACCUCCCUGUGUUUGAUCUAGAUAAGGACUGGAACCAGGUCUUCAGAGGUAGAAGGCUACUGCUCUAAAACAUCUUUAUGACUGAGCCCUAUACGCAAAGACAAAAAGCCAACGCAAAUAUGAAUCUUCAAAGGCAAAAUAAAAGAACAUCGACCUUCAAGCUCAGUGUAUUAAAUGAAAGACAGCAUGAACUAUCUCAUCUCUAUUUGGCCUUUCAUAUGAAAAUUAUAUAUAAAUGUCUUCAUUAUACAUAUAUUUGAGCUCAGUGGAAAGUCUUCAGUAUGGAGUGCAUAUAAAUAUUUAUGUGUUGCUGGCAAACCUCUGAACAUCACUGCUUUGUGGUUAUUUCUUCUGUGUAAAGCAACCUAGGAAGACUAAAAAGGGGACAUAAAUGGAAGAAGAUAGACAUGCUUAGUAUAUUUAGAGGACAAAAGCAAAGCUAAAUAGUGAACAAGAUGUACAAACCAAUUAUUAAAAUCAUUCUAUAGAAGUUUACAGUAACAAAAGGAGAAAUGGGAAACCUCUGGAAUGACAUAGCUCUAAAGCUUUUACUUUUAUGUUUCUAUGAUCAUCUCUAAGUCAAUAUUAGGAAACUAUCUGAAAUGAGUUGGGGUUUGUAAUUUACUUCCUGUUGGGGCAGUGAUUCUUACUAUGAAAUAGGAGAACUUGGAAAUUUGGCACAUUAUUCAAGGAUCAAACAGAACAGGAAGAAAAGGAAGACAUUUUCUUCACACUGUGAGAAGAGCUUUUUUUCCAUCAGUGAGGAUACAGACUACAUGAUGCUGAUAUGCUGAAGUUUUCUAUGGGCUAAAAGCUUGACUGAUUUUAGUAAAGGAAAAGGUGUCUCCAAGGAUGGCUCUGUACUGAGGUGGGGGCCUGGCAACAUGCACGGGUGGGCACUGGGAUGGCCCCAGGUCUCUCUCAUCAGAGCUGAUGUGUCCUCAGCGAGUCAGUUUCAUGGCACUGUUCCAACAAACUGCACCAUGUAGAAAAUGGUAAAGUAGGAAAGAUGAAAAAACAAAAAAAAACCCCUCCAAACUGACCCCCCCCCAGUUGAAUCCAAGUUAAAUCCAUAGUUUAUGGUGGUGAAAGAGGUACAUUUCCAAAGAACAACAAACUAUUGCUGUGCUCAACCUGUAUAUAUGACACCAAGAGUGUGUAGUGUUGCCUUCCUGUAAAAAACAGUGAAUGUAUUUCAGUAAUCUUGCCUGGCAACUUAUUUUCCCCCUGAGAACUCACCUAUUCUGAAUACCCAUGUAUUGUUUCUGUUCAAUACUAAGUUUUAAACCUGUUGGCUCUCGGUAUACAUAAGUAUAGGCUUUAUACAACAAGCCUCCCACUCCAUUCUAGAUCCUGGGGACCAGGAUACAGUGGUAUGCAUUGUAAACUUUCUCUGUUAUUCCCAUAGCAUCGCUAAGCUUCUCCCCUGAAGGAACUUUUAGGCUAUUCCCCAAAUCACCAAGGCUCUCCAACAUCCAAGCUACACAAGGAGCAAUCAUCUGAUUCAUACAUAUCUGUACUGAAUGAGAAAGGUUAGAAUUUGAUCAACUUGAAGAAUAUUGAGUCAGGAGACAAGAUUCUUAUUGACAGAUUUCAGGGUGCUUGAAGUCCCCCAGAAGAAUGAGAACCUACGGGUGUAAUGCCUUCCAUAGCUGGAGUAACAAGGUUUCCUCAUUAGGGUGGCCUUGAUCAAGUGGUCCAUAGUAGGUCAGAGUCUUGGCCUGAAUCAAAUUCACAGUACACUACAGUACACUGACCUGCUUUGUUUGAACCUUGGAGCAAUAAAAUCAUAGCAUAUCCUGGAAUUGUUGUCCAUCUGGAAAUUCAAAUCCACAGGAGAGAUAAGGAGCCUGAAGCAUUCAGACUGAAGUUCCUGUGACGCUCUCCAGCUGUCAAGGAAACUGAUCAAUGUUGGACCAUGCUGGAACAAUGUGUUUUGACAUUUUCAAAGCAUAUUUUAGUUGCAUGCUCUUUAAAGAACACAUAUACCUACACAGACACACAUGUGUCUAUUAAUUACUGUUGGCUCAACCGAGGAUGAAAACAAAUGUGUAACUAUUUAACUGUAUCUUCUAACC